CCACAUCAGGUUAAAACACUGGUUCCUGUAUGAUCACCAAAGUUAAGCAAGGCUGAGCCUGGUCAGUAUCUCGAUGGGUGACUGUUUGGGGAUAUGAGGUACUGUA